GGAUUAGAUACCCUGGUAGUCCACGCCAUAAACGAUGGAUACUUGUCGUUGGAGGUAUUGACCCCUUCAGUGACGAAGCUAACGCGUUAAGUAUCCCGCCUGGGGAGUACGGUCGCAAGAUUAAAACUCAAAGAAAUUGACGGGGGCCCGCACAAGCGGUGGAUCAUGUGGUUUAAUUCGAUGCAACGCGAAGAACCUUACCUGGGCUUGACAUGUACUGGAAGGGUGGCAGAAAUGCUCCCGCCCGCAAGGGCCAGUAUACAGGUGCUGCAUGGCUGUCGUCAGCUCGUGCCG
rnacentral:rRNA from 1 species